CGAGAAAUAAUUUAAAUUAAGUAUUCAUAGUCAGGGAUCAUCAAGUGAUUGCACUCCAGAUUAAUCUUCCUGGGCCCAAGUGCUGCCUGGCUUCAGCCUGAACAUGGCGCUGCAUUCUGUCUGUCCUAUUCAGCCCAAACAAGGAGAACUUAUUUGCUAAACAAUUUUAAUUCAUUCUACACAAUUUAAUUAUGCUUCAGUGUGAAACCACCUGUGACCUUGGGUUUAGUAAUGAAAUCCACUCCCUAGUCACCAAUGCUGAGAGUAAUCUGUUUGGCAACGACAGUAGAAAAUAAGAUUCUUAAAUACUGUUCGGAACUGGAAGAAUCACGCUCUUUUUGAUAGGCUCUCUUCUAGUUUGCUUGCAGGCCUUUGGCUGUCUUCCGGAGGAGAUUUUAUAGGAGAAUUAUCUUCACUGGAAGAUUUGAAUGGGAUUUGAAAUGACACAUAGCUGUUUCAGUGACAAAACACGUGAAAGUGUCCACUGUUUUUCUGUACUGUGUGAGCCAUAAGGCCAUCUGCUUCCUGCCUAACUUCUAGACUGUAGUUUUUGGCUCUUCCAUCAGGCCUUUCCAAUUACUGCAAUUGCCUUUUUCUCCAUGUCUUGAUCACACAUAGCGUUGGCUGUCACACCUGUGAUGGUCUGUAUUAUAUUUGAUUUGGCACUCUGUGGCUUGGUGUCUUGAUUCUUACUUCAAGAAUCAUGGAAUGUAAGGAAGGAAAAGAUCAUAGAGUCAAUUUAGUGUCACUGUUUCAUUUACAGACAAUGAAACUGGGACAUUUGAGGUUUAAGUGUUAGUGGCAGGUCUGAGACUCUGCAACCAGCUCUUAUUAGCCAGAUGCUAUCCCCAAAUCAGGAAAGAUUCCUGCUUCAGCUUACAAGAGCUUACAGACCAGCGACCAGCGAUCUGAUAGCAUGUUCUCACUUUCUUGAAAAGUAUGUUUUUAAAUAUACCAAACCAAGUCUUCUUAUGUUCUUUAAGGUAGGGGUAGUUUUAUUUUCCAGCUAUUGUACUGAAUACAUGUUUAGUUGAAUUAAACUAUCAAAAGAUGUUAAAAUGUCAUUGAAGUUACAGGCAUGGGUGAAACUUUCAAUGACUAAAUCUGAGCAGCAGCCUUAUUUCAGUUCUGUUACUCCUCCCAGCCCCUGUCUUCUUUCCCCCGCUGAAAUGAAUGACACAGAACUAAGAAGCACAAAAAGUGAGCUCCCAGAUCUGUCUGAAUGAAAAUACCAAGACUCUGUGGAUGUUCCAAGAUAUCAGAUUCUCUUGCUAAGAAAAUUGCAGCAUUGUAACUUCUUUCAAGCAUUAAAGCCCAAACAAUGUCUUCCUCGUUUUGGGGGGAAAAAAAAAAGAUAAUAAAAUUUUUGGAGGUACACAGAGAUGCAUCAGAGAGGACUAAUUACAGUAGUUACAGUAAACUUAAGUGGAAUGGCAAAAGACAUUGAUGAUAAUAAUAAUUUUAAAAACUAGAGGAAAAAAAACCAGUGUCUUUUGUCCUCUGCAUAACUUUAUUCUUUCUAGAAGGUAUUUUUGAAGAGAAAUAUGAUUUUCAAACUAAGGUACCAAAAAGGACAAAAUAAAUUAGUCCCCCCAACUCCUGCCCACUUGUAAUUGAAGGUUUACUUCAUGUUAAGACUUAGAUCAUGUUUUGUGUUAAAUUACCUUAUAAGUGGAAGCAGAAGGACUGUAUUCACUAAUAUAUUUCUAAGGGAGCUGCCUAACUUAAACAUUAAAAUUGGAUCUAGGAAAAGAUUUUGCAACAGGAACGGUCUUAUUCAUAGGAGCUCAUGAACACAGUGUGAUUUUUAGAUGAUCUCUCCAUUAAACAGAAAAAGAUGCAUCCAGCAUUUGGAAUAUCUUCAAGUGGAAUAAGAAGAGUUAAAAUGCAAAUCUAUCAGGCAGUAGUUACAUGUUAAGCAACUACCUACUAUUUAUAUAUUAUAAUGAUUUUAUUCAUCAGUUGUUAUUCUAAAGGGACAGAUAAGUAACCACACCUUCCUCAAGAUAUGCACACAAAAUAUCACCUUUCAGGAAGGAAAAGAGCAAAAGGUAGAGAGGCAAAGAGAAGAGACAUGAAUGGGGCAAUGUGGUUUAAAGCAUUAGGAGGAUCUUGGGUUGGCCCAAUAGAUAAUAAAAGACAAUGCUAAGAGCAUUGCUGUUAUUGUUGUUGUUGUUAGGUUUUUUAUGUUUUAUGUUCAGUUUUUUUAAAGUAUGAAAUUAACAAGAAAAAUGGAAUAUGUAUGAUAUUGGUGGUGGGGCAUGAAGUUUGAGGAAGCUGUGAACUGUGAUGAAACAGGGAAAGGGUCAACAAGAGGUACAGGAGACAGGCAGCUGGAGAGACUUGGAUUCUGUCUUGAUGAUCCUAUGAGUACAUGGCCUUGCCUGGUGGCUUUAUUGAAUUAAUCCUGUUAAAUAGAGAGUCAUUUUAUUUUCUUGAAUAAUGCUUUUGAAUAUAUAAAUAAAUAAAAAUUUGGUCUUUAAAAAUUUUCAAAAUUUAUGUAGUUUAGCUGUUUCAAACCCAUAAACUAAAAAGAAGUUUUGUUGGUCUAAC
rnacentral:lncRNA from 10 species